GACGAACGCUGGCGGCGUGCUUAACACAUGCAAGUCGAACGCUGAAGCUUGGUGCUUGUACUGGGUGGAUGAGUGGCGAACGGGUGAGUAAUACGUGAGGAACCUGCCCUUGACUCUGGGAUAAGCCUGGGAAACUGGGUCUAAUACUGGAUACGACAUGCCACUGCAUGGUGGUGUGUGGAAAGGUUUUUCCUGGUUUUGGAUGGGUGCACGGCCUAUCAGCUUGUUGGUGGGUGAAUGGCCUACUAAGGCGGCGACGGGUAGCCGGCCUGCGGGGGUGGCCGGCCACACUGGGACUACGACACGGCCCAGAAUCCUACGGGAGGCAGCGGUCGGGAAUAUUGCACAAUGGGCGGAAGCCUGAUGCAGCGACGCCGCGUGAGGGAUGACGGCCUUCGGGUUGUAAACCUCUUUCAGCACGGAAGAAGCGAGAGUGACGGUACGUGCAGAAGAAGCGCCGGCUAACUACGUG
rnacentral:rRNA from 1 species